rnacentral:rRNA from 1 species
CUACGGGAGGCUGCAGUAGGGAAUAUUGCACAAUGGGCGAAAGCCUGAUGCAGCAACGCCGCGUGCGCGAUGAAGGCCUUCGGGUUGUAAAGCGCUUUUCUGAGGGAAGAGGAAGGACUGUACCUCAGGAAUAAGUCUCGGCUAACUACGUGCCAGCAGCCGCGGUAACACGUAGGAGGCAAGCGUUAUCCGGAUUUACUGGGCGUAAAGCGCGUGUAGGCGGUUUGGCAAGUCGGAUGUGAAAGCUCCUGGCUCAACUGGGAGAGGUCGUUCGAAACUGCCAGACUAGAGGACGGUAGAGGAAGAUGGAAUUCCCGGUGUAGUAGUGAAAUGCGUAGAUAUCGGGAGGAACACCAGUGGCGAAGGCGGUCUUCUGGGCCGUUCCUGACGCUGAGACGCGAAAGCAUGGGUAGCGAACGGGAUUAGAUACCCGUGUAGUC